rnacentral:lncRNA from 1 species
CAUUUCUACUGGCUACGUCCGGCAGCAGCAGACGCUGGGCGAGUUCAAGCAGUUGCCGCCCUUGCCGAACAACGCCACGUUCCUGCACCAGCUGCUGCAGUCCGGCAGGAAGUUAUCGCACGGGCCCAUGCACUGGUACACCGCCGCCCCUGAUGAUCACCAUAACACGGCAAUCUCUCACGGUGAAGAAAGUUGAAAGUUGAAGAAAGAAAAGCUUGCAUGCAAAAGCAUUGGGCAUGUUUUAGGCGUACCAUGGGAUGAAAGAGUAGCGACGGUGAGCACGACGACGACGAGGAUCCUGCAGAGGACGGCCGAGGAAGAUGAUGACCCCAUAGAAGGUGACGGCAGUUUGACCGUAAUACCGUGGUUCUGCUUGGACUGUCAAAUUGGUAACGGAGAGGUAAUCUAUCUCCGGCGUUUUGGUAC